rnacentral:rRNA from 1 species
UACGUAGGUGGCAAGCGUUGUCCGGAUUUACUGGGCGUAAAGAGCGCGCAGGCGGUCGUGCAAGUCGCGUGUGAAAUCUCCCGGCUCAACUGGGAGGGUGCGCCGAAUACUGAGUGACUAGAGUGCGGGAGAGGAAAGUGGAAUCCUGGUGUAGCGGUGAAAUGCGUAGAUAUCAGGAGGAACAUCGGUGGUGUAGACGGCUUUCUGGACCGUAACUGA